UCCAGGGUAGUCUAGUGUACAUGUCAUCUGCCCGGUAAGCGAAAUGUGGGUUCGAUUCCCAUCCCUGGAC